UGGGAAACAGGUUAAUAUUCCUGUACUUGGUGUUACUGCGAAGGGGGGACGGAGAAGGCUAUGUUGGCCGGGCGACGGUUGUCCCGGUUUAAGCGUGUAGGCUGGUUUUCCAGGCAAAUCCGGAAAAUCAAGGCUGAGGCGUGAUGACGAGGCACUACGGUGCUGAAGCAACAAAUGCCCUGCUUCCAGGAAAAGCCUCUAAGCAUCAGGUAACAUCAAAUCGUACCCCAAACCGACACAGGUGGUCAGGUAGAGAAUACCAAGGCGCUUGAGAGAACUCGGGUGAAGGAACUAGGCAAAAUGGUGCCGUAACUUCGGGAGAAGGCACGCUGAUAUGUAGGUGAAGCGACUUGCUCGUGGAGCUGAAAUCAGUCGAAGAUACCAGCUGGCUGCAACUGUUUAUUAAAAACACAGCACUGUGCAAACACGAAAGUGGACGUAUACGGUGUGACGCCUGCCCGGUGCCGGAAGGUUAAUUGAUGGGGUUAGCGGUAACGCGAAGCUCUUGAUCGAAGCCCCGGUAAACGGCGGCCGUAACUAUAACGGUCCUAAGGUAGCGAAAUUCCUUGUCGGGUAAGUUCCGACCUGCACGAAUGGCGUAAUGAUGGCCAGGCUGUCUCCACCCGAGACUCAGUGAAAUUGAACUCGCUGUGAAGAUGCAGUGUACCCGCGGCAAGACGGAAAGACCCCGUGAACCUUUACUAUAGCUUGACACUGAACAUUGAGCCUUGAUGUGUAGGAUAGGUGGGAGGCUUUGAAGUGUGGACGCCAGUCUGCAUGGAGCCGACCUUGAAAUACCACCCUUUAAUGUUUGAUGUUCUAACGUUGGCCCGUUAUCCGGGUUGCGGACAGUGUCUGGUGGGUAGUUUGACUGGGGCGGUCUCCUCCUAAAGAGUAACGGAGGAGCACGAAGGUUGGCUAAUCCUGGUCGGACAUCAGGAGGUUAGUGCAAUGGCAUAAGCCAGCUUGACUGCGAGCGUGACGGCGCGAGCAGGUGCGAAAGCAGGUCAUAGUGAUCCGGUGGUUCUGAAUGGAAGGGCCAUCGCUCAACGGAUAAAAGGUACUCCGGGGAUAACAGGCUGAUACCGCCCAAGAGUUCAUAUCGACGGCGGUGUUUGGCACCUCGAUGUCGGCUCAUCACAUCCUGGGGCUGAAGUAGGUCCCAAGGGUAUGGCUGUUCGCCAUUUAAAGUGGUACGCGAGCUGGGUUUAGAACGUCGUGAGACAGUUCGGUCCCUAUCUGCCGUGGGCGCUGGAGAACUGAGGGGGGCUGCUCCUAGUACGAGAGGACCGGAGUGGACGCAUCACUGGUGUUCGGGUUGUCAUGCCAAUGGCACUGCCCGGUAGCUAAAUGCGGAAGAGAUAAGUGCUGAAAGCAUCUAAGCACGAAACUUGCCCCGAGAUGAGUUCUCCCUGACUCCUUGAGAGUCCUGAAGGAACGUUGAAGACGACGACGUUGAUAGGCCGGGUGUGUAAGCGCAGCGAUGCGU
rnacentral:rRNA from 1 species